GACUUUGCUAUAUCGACAUGACUGUGAUGCUGAUUGGAAAUAAAAUCGAUGUCCCAUCCGAUCAAAGACCUGUCUGAUAUCCAGGAACACACAAACCACUUAUUCAAAAGCUAGGAUCAGCAGGAGUCGCCUUCAGGACCCACAGGGGAAGUGUUGGAGGCACAGCCUUCCGGUUCAUCUCGACAAAACGUGUUAUUGUUGGUGUCAUUUAUGUCAAUGGAAGAAAAACUAUCCAGAAUAGAUGGAAUGGGCAGGCUGUGUCUUCCUCCACUCUAACAUGAAAUAUGACUAGGAAAUCUAUAUAUAUAAUGAGAUGGAACGUGAGUCGCUUCUGAGUACGCGACUCUACUUUUAUAUCCGUACUCAC